UGACCUGCGGAAGGAUCAUUACUGAGUGCGGGCUGCCUCCGGGCGCCCAACCUCCCACCCGUGACUACCUAACACUGUUGCUUCGGCGGGGAGCCCUCUCGGGGGCGAGCCGCCGGGGACUACUGAACUUCAUGCCUGAGAGUGAUGCAGUCUGAGUCUGAAUAUAAAAUCAGUCAAAACUUUCAACAAUGGAUCUCUUGGUUCCGGCAUCGAUGAAGAACGCAGCGAACUGCGAUAAGUAAUGUGAAUUGCAGAAUUCAGUGAAUCAUCGAGUCUUUGAACGCACAUUGCGCCCCCUGGCAUUCCGGGGGGCAUGCCUGUCCGAGCGUCAUUGCUGCCCAUCAAGCCCGGCUUGUGUGUUGGGUCGUCGUCCCCCCCGGGGGACGGGCCCGAAAGGCAGCGGCGGCACCGUGUCCGGUCCUCGAGCGUAUGGGGCUUUGUCACCCGCUCGAUUUAGGGCCGGCCGGGCGCCAGCCGACGUCCAACCAUUUUUCUUCAGGUUGACCUC
rnacentral:rRNA from 1 species